AGAACUUUCUCGAUCUCAUGUUGCCGGAUGAUUUCAUCAGUGGGAAACGCGACGUCUUGACCGAAUUAAUUGACGAUCGCGGUUUGCCGUUCGGA